rnacentral:rRNA from 1 species
UUGGAAGGUGUUUAUAGUCUAGCCUGCUCACUGACAUUAACGUUAAAUAGCCGCGGUAUCCUGACCGUGCAAAGGUAGCAUAAUCAUUAGUUUUUUAAUUGUAAACUUGUAUGAAUGGUUGGACAAAGAAAAAUCUGUCUCUUUCACUAAAAUUGAAUUUGACUUUUGAGUGAAAAGGCUCAAAUUUUCUAGAGGGACGAUAAGACCCUAUAAAGCUUUAUAAAUUUGAUAAUUUUAUAAAUUUGAAAAAUAAAGAUAAGUUUGAGAGAUUUAUUUGGUUGGGGCGACAGAAGUAUAAUUGAAAAUAACUGCUAAUAGAUCUUACAAUAAUCUUUGUAUUGGUUAUGUGGAUGAUCCCUUUUAAGGAUUAAGAGAUCAAGUUACUUUAGGGAUAACAGCGUAAUCUUUUUUGAGAGUACUUAUCAAAAAAAAGGUUUGCGACCUCGAUGUUGAAUUAAAAUGUCUUUACAGUGCAGCAGCUGUAUAAGAAGGUCUGUUCGACCUUUAAUUUUUUACAUGAUUUGA